GCCUGGGUGGCUGAGUGGGUUAAGUGUCCGAUUUGGGCUCAGGUCGUGAUCUCACGGUUCGUGGGUUUGAGCCCCGCGUCAGGCU
rnacentral:tRNA from 1 species